rnacentral:lncRNA from 1 species
AAAAUACUCAAAUUUAGAGAGUAGGGCUCGGCCAUUCAGCAAUCAGAAAUGCAUUCUGGACAAAGAUUAAGUCCCUUUGGAAAAUCUGGUCUGAGAUCUGCUGUCCCCUCAACAGAAGUAACAGACAGACAACUUCUGAAACAUUGAUUAGUAGUGUACUGACAAAAACUGGUCUCCAUUGACAAGAAACAACAGAGCAAUUGUUAGUUUAUGCAACUUAUACUGAG